GCCGGGAAUAUCGAUGUGUAUGGAUUCCUCGAGCCACAGUUUAUCCAGAGAUCUGGCCAAUCACAAUUUGAAUCAAAAAGUUACAUUAAGAACUGGAUCCAAAAUUCAAAACGGGAUGUGUACCUAGGAGCCUACCUGAAUGGUGCACAUUGGCAAAUGGUCAUCAUUUUGCCUUAGGAAAAUGUCGUCAUUUGGUUUUGUUCGUUGCAUAAUAAGCCAGACAACUACCUCAAAGGCAUAAUUAAUAGUGCUUUGAAAGGACUUGACGAUAC